GGAUGGCGCUGGAGCGUCGUGCCUAUACUCGGCCGUCGACGGCAUAGUGGAGUCAGUCGUCGCUCGCGGCGGCCCGGUCCCGGCAAGCCUCGACGAGUAGGAUGGCGCGGCGGUGUGCGUCGAAGAGCAGGUCGCGAGACCGCCUGGAGCCGCCGUCGGUGCAGAUCUUGGUGGUAGUAGCAAAUACUCGAGAGAGGCCCUCGAGAGCUGCCGUGGAGAAGAGUUUCUUGUGAACAGCCGUUGUCCAAGAGUCAGUCGAUCCUAAGCCCAGGAGAGAGAUCCUCGUACCACGGGCGAAGGCGUUUUCGAAUCGCCCUUGGGGCGAGAGGGAAUCCGGUUCGUAUUCCGGAACCCGACGCGGAACCGCUCCCUAGUGUUCGGGGCUCUUUUGUCUCGUCUGGGUAACCAGAAUGAACUCGAAGAAGCCGCCGGGGGAUCUGGGUAGAGUUCUCUUUUCUCUGUGAGCGUUGUACGUCCCUGGAAUCCUCUAGCCGGGCGAUAGGGACGCGAGCGCGAAGAGCACCGCUCGUUGCGGCGGUGUCCGUGAUCCCCACGCGGACCUUGAAAAUUCGAGAGAGGGCCACGCGGAGUCUUCGCGUCGGUUCGUACCGAUAUCCGCAGCAGGUCUCCGAGGUGAGCAGCCUCUAGCCGCAUAGAAUAAUGUAGGUAAGGGAAGUCGGCAAAACCGAUCCGUAACUUCGGGAUAAGGAUUGGCUCUGAGGAGCGUGGCUGCCGGGUUCGGGUCGUCGUAGAAGCGUAGGCGUUUUUGGCGACACCCCGGCCGUCGCCCGUGCGCCCGGUCUUCGGAACGGGAGCCUCGAGGCGGCCGCGGGCCCGUCGCCGUCCGCCGACCGUGGAACCACCGAGCUUCGGUCGCUGGCCGCGUCGCGGCCGGCCGACCGCCUUGGUGUCGGUUCGCCGUCACCGGGCGGUCCGGCCGCCGCGCCGUCGGUCGCGUAACCGGAUCGACAGCCAUGUAACGGUCAACUCAGAACUGGCACGGACCAGGGGAAUCCGACUGUCUAAUUAAAACAAAGCAUCGCGAUGGCCCGGGACGGGUGUUGACGCGAUGUGAUUUCUGCCCAGUGCUCUGAAUGUCAACGUGAAGAAAUUCAAGCAAGCGCGGGUAAACGGCAGGAGUAACUAUGACUCUUUUAAGGUAGCCAAAUGCCUCGUCAUCUAAUUAGUGACGCGCAUGAAUGGAUUAACGAGAUUCUCACUGUCCCUAUCUACUAUCUAGCGAAACCACAGCCAAGGGAACGGGCUUGGAAAAAUCAGCGGGGAAAGAAGACCCUGUUGAGCUUGACUCUAAUCUGGCAUUGUUCGGAGACAUGCCGAGGUGUAUCAUACGUGGGAGACCCGGACCAAGGCGGGCGGUUUCGGCCGUUCGUCUCCGGGCCGACCUUGAAAUACCACUACUCGCAUCGUUUCCCCACUUACUCGGUAGAGCGGAACGCGCGGUUCCGGCCGCGGGGCGCGUCCGGCCGGCGGUCGUCGUCCCGUCGCGUCGUCGGUUUGCCGUCGGUUCGCCGGCGCGCUACUGGCGCGCGGCGUGGUCGCCGUGCCGUCGGCCUGUGCCCGUUCGUGCCGGGCCGCGGUUGAUAUUCCGGUAGCGUUAAGCACCAGCCGAGGGAUCCGGGCGUCAAACCGCGGACCGCGUCCGUCCGCGUACGGCCGACCGUCAAAAGUCGCCGUCCGCGUUCGCGGCGUAUCCGCGGGCCCGGUCCCUGGUGCGAUCCGUAUUCCGAGGACACCGCCAAGUGGGGA
rfam:Acyrthosiphon pisum strain LSR1 Contig3191, whole genome shotgun sequence.